AGCCAGCCUCCGGGCCUGAGGCCAUCUCGGUCUCCGGGUCUGAGGCCACCCGGCCUCUGGGCCUCCAGGCCUGAGGCCACCCGGCCUCUGAUUCUGAGGCCACCCGGCCUGCUGGCCACGCGGCCUCUGGGCCUUCAGGCCACCCGGCCUCCUGGCCUGAUUAUAUUAUACUGUUUUUAUUCACUGAAGGAACUGAAACUAACCUAAACAAAAAAAACAUGUGCACAUGCACAACCACCACCAUCACCUCCUCCUCCACCUCCUCCAUCUCCUCCUCCGCCUCGUGGUGCAGCGGGGAAGUAAUCCAGUCAGCAGAUGUACCUUCUAGAACAGAUCAAAACAAAUGUUGCCUAAUGACAGCAGGAGGACCCCAGCUCUAAAGGGGGGGGCUGUAACCACUAGACACUCCUGUUGAAAUGAGAAGGGUCCAGCUGCAGGCUUGGGAGUUCCCGUCAUGACACAAAAACGCCCAUCAGGCGUUCCCGUCAUGACACAAAAACGCCCAUCAGGCGUUCCUGUAGCGUUUCAUCGAUCAAUCAAGAAGAGGUGAGUGAGUUUCGCAAGGCAUGCUGGUACCCUGGCACAUGCUUUGUCCAAUGGACCAUGGAAGGGACUUUACUUGGCUGACGAGUACGCAAUGUAUUCUACCCUCAAAAGCAAUAUGAUUUCAGUGAGGUGAGUUCUUUCAAAUCUCAAUCAGAUGUGUAGCAUGAAAUAUAAGGCUUUUAAUAGUUUUGUCAUCCUUACUGGAGGCUACAAUUAACAUGCAUCAUAGGUCAUACACAUUACUUUGUCUUCAGGUACUGCACUUACGGGAGGAGAUGGCUACAUCUUCACAAUAAUUUACACUGCCAUAGUACACUGCUAAACAGUACUGUAACAUGGAUUUGUAUCAGGCUAUGAAGUCAUUUAAAGCAAAACUUUACUUUUCAGGGGGACAUGCUCUCUAUCAGGAGGUGGUGGUUGGACAGCUGUUGGAGACCUUUAUGCUUGAAAGCCCUGCAGAACUAGCUGGCUCCUUCUCACCCUCUCCAUCUCCCCAUCUCAGUCACACCUUCCAAUCACUAAGCAGUGAAAGCCCUGCAGGACUAGCUGGCACACCAAGCUCACCCUCUCCAUCUCCCCAUCUCAGCCACACGCUCCAAUCUGGCACAACAGAGGACAGGCCAUUCUUACCACCCGAAGUCCUUCAGCAAAUUGUACAAGAGACGCUGAGACUGGACAUGGCGAUGCUUGGCGUGUUCAACAGGGUUUCAAACACAUUCCGAGAACUAAUCAAGCCUCUCCAUCCUUCCAUAUAUAUAAAUGACAGUUUGGCAGGGGACAUUAAGCUUAAUAAAGACAAUCUCGUAUAAAUAACGGUUAGAAAGAUUUACAACAAUGCAGGCUGUGGCAGUGGCCUUGCGCUACGCCUCAAAGGCUUCUCAAAAAAGAAGAAUUGGCCAAGCGCACCCCUGGUACUGAGGCACGUUGCAUAUGGCAGGUUUGUCAUAAAAGAUGUCUGCCUUGCAUAAUGUUCUUUUAUUACUCCUUUUUCGUUUUAUUUGGAACGUCUUUUUUUGCAAUCCCUUUCAUUUGUAAAUGUACAUACUACUGUAGUAAAUGUAUCUGCCCAGAAAUGCUGGUAUUUUAUUACUCCUUUCUUUUUUGUUUUUGUGACAAAUGCUAUACGAUGCAUAGCGAUGUAUAUACUUGGAGUCAAAUGGCCUACUGUUUGAGCCUUCAUAGUGUCU
rnacentral:lncRNA from 1 species